AGUUUUGGAACACCGCAUUAGAUCUAGGUUUCAAUUAAAUAUAUGAAUCACAAACAACACUCAAGCAUGCAACAGAGUACAACUGUAUCGCGUGCAACAACCCAAAGGAGUUGGCAAAUAAAUGCUCUAAAGGGUACAAAACAUUUCUGAGUGGUUUGAUCCCACAUCUCAUUCUCCUACAAAAGUAGCUCAAAAAAAAAAGAUGGCAGCAAAGGAGAUACCGUUGAUCUUGUACAACAACAGUAACAGAAAUGAGUAAUUUACAAUGAAACAAACACUAUAUUAGUAAAAUAUAAUCUGACAUCUAAUUCCCCUGAGACAUUUGAACAAACAUGUGAUGGAUAACCUUACACUCCAGAUGGUAACCUCCUAGGAACCUCAAUCUCUGACGGGAAGCAAGCUACCUCAACCCUGCGAGUAAAACAUUUUUUUGUGAAAGAACAUUAAGCAUGCAAUGAAGGGAAAUAUAUUACCAAUUGAAGGAUUUUAUCAGCAAGCAAAAGUCUCAUUUCAAUUUUGAAGCAAGCAGACAAACUCUGUGAAUAUAUAUUAAAGUUUAAAGCAGCCUUUGGGUUGUUAGUGCUUGGAACCUCAUUAUUAGAUCUCUGAAAGAACUUGGAAAAUAAUGUAUCCAAUAAGCAAAAAUAUCAUAUUUGCACUUUACCAGCAGUCGUUUUCGAUAUAGAAAAUUAAGCGCCUCGAAGAUUUUGUAGAAAAUAUCUAUCCACUGGCCAGUGCACUUUGGGAUUACAGGGAGCCCCAUUAGUAUCUUAUGAUCUUACUACCUACAACAAAAUACACCAAUCCGUAAGAAAUUGCAACCAGCAUGAAACUGAACCUCAAAUAUGAUACAACAAAAUGUAGCAGAGGUGGCUGCAAACACAUAACUAGUGGUGUUUUCUUUGACAUGGCCUCGCCUCAAUAUAGAUCUGACCGUAGAAACCUCUUGUGCCUUGCCGGCAAUGGUUGUCUGCAGCUUCUACCACUGAAUCUCAGGUCUGCAGCGGGGUAAUUUAUUAGACCAAAUCUCAUAGAAAAAAACAAAUAAUUCAUUUAUAGAUCCUGCUGACUAGAUCUCAUAGAUCAAUAUGAAAAAUAUAGGGAAGUAAAUUAGGAACACAUAAUAACAAUCUAUAUACUAUAACAUGAAGAAUCAUAGAUAGGGGGAGCAAGAAGGCUGCAUUUCUUCCAAAAGCAGUAGCACAAAACAAAAGAAACGUUAUGAAGGUGAGUUUUACCUUUAAUUGAUUCGAACCAUGCUAGAUGAACUUCUAUUGCUUCUCGUCACCUCCGGAAUCGCUCGCCGCUUCUUGCACUCCCAAUUCCAGAAACUGCAAGGAGAGAGAGAGAGAGAGGGAGGGAGAGAGAGGGGGAGAGGGAGGGAGAGN
rnacentral:lncRNA from 1 species